AGGCUUUGAUCCUGGCUCAGGACGAACGCUGGCGGCAUGCCUAAUACAUGCAAGUCGAACGCCGACGCACUCUGCUUGCAGAGUGUUGAGGAGUGGCGAACGGGUGAGUAACACGUGGAGAACCUGCCCAUAAGAGGGGGAUAACAUCCGGAAACGGGUGCUAAUACCGCAUAGGUGGCUGGAGCGCAUGCUCUAGUCAUGAAAGACGGCUUCGGCUGUCGCUUAUGGAUGGCUCCGCGGCGUAUUAGCUAGUUGGUGAGGUAAUGGCUCACCAAGGCAGUGAUACGUAGCCGACCUGAGAGGGUGAUCGGCCACACUGGGACUGAGACACGGCCCAGACUCCUACGGGAGGCAGCAGUGGGGAAUCUUAGACAAUGGGGGCAACCCUGAUCUAGCCAUGCCGCGUGAGCGAUGAAGGCCUUAGGGUUGUAAAGCUCUUUCGCUGGGGAAGAUAAUGACGGUACCCUAGU
rnacentral:rRNA from 1 species